rnacentral:rRNA from 1 species
AAUGAACGUUGGCGGCGUGGAUUAGGCAUGCAAGUCGAGCGAGAACCCAGCAAUGGGGGACAGCGGCGUAAGGGACAGUAAUGUGUAGAUUAUCUGCCCUCGGGACCGGGAUAGCUGCGGGAAACUGCAGGUAAUACCGGAUAACAUCUCCGGAUCAAAGGUGUGAUUCCGCCCGAGGAUGAGUCUGCAUCCUAUUAGCUAGUUGGCAGGGUAAUGGCCUACCAAGGCUUUGAUGGGUAGCGGGUGUAAGAGCACGACCCGCGUCAUUGGGACUGAGACACUGCCCAGACACCUACGGGUGGCUGCAGUCGAGAAUCUUCGGCAAUGGGCGCAAGCCUGACCGAGCGACGCCGCGUGUGGGAUGAAGGCCUUCGGGUUGUAAACCACUGUUAGAGGGGAUGAAAUGCAGGUGGGUUCUCCCAUCUGUUUGACAUAGCCUCAGAGGAAGGACGGGCUAAGUUCGUGCCAGCCGCCGCCGUAA